rnacentral:rRNA from 1 species
GCUUGUCUCAAAGAUUAAGCCAUGCAUGUCUAAGUAUAAACAAAUCUAUACUGUGAAACUGCGAAUGGCUCAUUAAAUCAGUUAUAGUUUAUUUGAUAAUACCUACUACUUGGAUAACCGUAGUAAUUCUAGAGCUAAUACAUGCGAAAAACCUCGACUUUUGGAAGAGGUGUAUUUAUUAGAUACAAAACCAAUGCGGGGCAACCCGGUACCUUGGUGAUUCAUAAUAACUUUGCGAAUCGAAUGGCUUUGCCGUCGAUGAUUCAUUCAAAUUUCUGCCCUAUCAACUUUCGAUGGUAAGGUAUUGGCUUACCAUGGUGACAACGGGUGACGGAGAAUUAGGGUUCGAUUCCGGAGAGGGAGCCUGAGAAACGGCUACCACUUCCAAGGAAGGCAGCAGG